rnacentral:rRNA from 1 species
GUAAGUUCCGACCUGCACGAAUGGUGUAACGAUCUGGACACUGUCUCAACCGUGAGCUUGGUGAAAUUGUAGUAUCGGUGAAGAUGCCGGUUACUCGCAACGGGACGAAAAGACCCCGUGCACCUUCACUACAACUUUACAUUGACUUUGGGUAAAUAAUGUGUAGGAUAGGCGGGAGGCUUUGAAACCAGGGCGCUAGUCUUGGUGGAGCCAUCCUUGAAAUACCGCCCUUAUCCUCAUUGACGUCUAACCGCGGCCCGUGAACCCGGGCCCGGGACCCUGCGUGGUGGGUAGUUUGACUGGGGCGGUCGCCUCCCAAAUCGUAACGGAGGCGCGCGAUGGUGGGCUCAGGUCGGUUGGAAACCGACUGAUAGAGUGCAAUGGCAUAAGCCCGCCUGACUGCGAGAGUGACAAUUCGAGCAGA